UCGAAAGACACCUGGCUCUGGAUCCAUCAGGGGUCCAGGGGAAGACUGGAAACCAUCCCACUGGGAACCAGGACAGGUAACCUACGAGGAGUAAAGCCAUCAGAAUCUCUUGUAGAAAGUGUUGCUCUUGGUUUAUUUAAAACACUAGGGCAACUACGGAAAUAAUUCCCUGCAGUAAAAAGACUGCUCUCCACUUCAAGAGACCUCUUCACAGCAACUGAGACCCAGGAAAGUCCGUCAUUAGGCCCAGAGAGAAGAGAAUGGCAUGUCAACGUUGAGGUUUUGUGGUGAGCAGAGAUGAAACCUCCCUGGAGUUUGCUGGUUCUGUCUCACCCAGCUACUUUAUCCCAGCAUGGCUGUGGUUUGGUCUUCAAACAAGCUGAAAGAUAAGCAAAUACCCUGCCUCCUAGGUGACACUGGAUUUCCCUCAGCAUCCAGUGUGUAAACGCCAGCAGUACAGUAGAAAGCCACAACUCAUCCACACUCAACCGCAGAACCCUCACCCAGAAUAAACCAUGACUAGGGCAGAAGCUCCUCCCCAAACAACAAAAUCAAAUUCGAUUAAAAGGUGACACUGCCAGCCUCUUUCAGCCACUGAUCUUUUUGAUGUGGGAAAUGUGAGAGUCAGGGAGAUCAAAUAGAUAAUUCAAGCCACUAUAAAUCACAAAUGAUGUCUUACCAUCAGAAACGAACACUUUGGGAUGGGUUGAGAGACUAAACACGUACUGUCCAGUUGAGUAUCCCUAGACACAUGUAGUUAUUUCACUUUCAACUAAUUAAAAUGAAAUAAAAUUUAAAAUUCAGCUCUUCGGUCAUGCUAACCACACAUGUCCAGUGCUCCAGUCUAUGCUGGGCUCUGGACUUGAGCCUAGACGUAAAACAUUUUCAGGAACUUCCAUGUGAUCGAGCUAGUGGUUAAGAAUCCACCUUCCAAUGCAGGGGAUGUGAGUUGGAUUCCUGGUCGGGGAAUAAAGAUCCCACCCGCCACAGGGCAACUAAGCCCACAAGCCGCAACUAAAGAGCCGGCGCCACAGAGAAGCCUGUGUACCACCAUGAAGGCCCAGCACAGCCAAAAAGAUAAAACGUUUCCAUCCUCCCAGGAAGUGUUAGCGGACAGCGCAAGACUAAAUACUAAGAAAGGGAGAAGGAAAGGAGGCUUAAAAAGAAAUAAAAGGGCUUGUUUUGUUUUUAAUUAGAGACUUAACUCCUGGGUGCCUCUCUCAGUGUUUGCUGAAGGUGGGCUCAAACACAGCAAACACGUUAAUGACUUGACACGCACCUCCAGGACUACACAAGUCAAUAUUCCUCCGUUAGUGAACGUGAAAGUGAAGUUGCUCAGUCGGAUCCAACUCUUUGCAACCCCACAAACUGUAGCCUAUCAAGCUCCUCCGUCCAUGGGUGUUUCCAGGCCAGAGUGCUGGAGUGGAUUGCCAUUUCCUUCUCCAGGGGAUCUUCCUGACCCAGGAAUCGAACCCAGGUCUCCCGCAUUGCGCGCAGACGCUUUACCGUCUGCGCCAUCAGGGAAGCAAGCAGUAAUAGUAUAUGUGCCACGCGUAAUUAUUUUUAUGGUUUUCAUGGCUUUUUAAACAGACUGAGAACAACAGUUUGAAUGAAAUGUGGUUGGUGGUCUCACGCUCUGUUUGGUGUUGUGUUCUCCAUACUAUCAUCUUUGUAUUUUUGCUGCGGAAAGCUGAGACAAUGAAAGCUUUUCAGUUACUCACGGUAGCUCAUUUUUUAUGGCAAACAUUAAUACUGUAUUUUUUAAAUUCCAUUUACCUACAUUUUUCAUACGAAAGAUUCAUUUCUAAAGGAAUACUUCUCCCUGGUAUUGAAAAAAAUAACUUGUUUCCUUUUGGAUCUUUCCACCAGAUUAUGUUUCUUCUUCCUAGAGUUCCCAGAAUAGCAUAAAGAUCCAGUCAUUUAAAAUGGAACUGGGUCUGCCUUACUGGUUUGGCCCAGAAUGCCCAAUCAAGUAGGUGAAAAGCUAAACUUUGUCCAUCCCAUUGGCCUUUCAUGUCUUACGGUCCAAACUUUCAAGAUUCCCAGCAAUACACCCAGUUUCCCCUCUGUUUAUGGUUAAUGGAAUAACAGGAAAAAUACAGAUUUUGAAGUCAAAUACCACUGAUAAGCUCAAUGAUUUUGAACAAAUUAUUCAUUGACACAGAGCCUCAUCUGUGUUUACUCAUCUGAAAAUAAGGUUAAUAAUAGAAAUAUCAUAGGUUAAUUGUAAACAUUAAAUGAGUUAGUGUGCAUAAAGCACCUAACCUACUGCUCAGCACACAAUAAUUCAAUCUAUAUUAGUGUUGGAAUUUUUGUUGUUGUCUUUCUAUGGCUUUGCUUUUAAUAUGUACUGUGUUUCUGAAAGUAAUCUUCUUUAGUUUGGUCUUGAAAGAAUUCCCUCUUCUGCCCAGUGAGCAGAAAAAAAAUUUUUGUCAAUAAUUAGAGAGCCCUCGUCUAGAAUCUGUUGAGUUGAAAUAGGUAAACAUCUGCUGCUGCUGCUGCUAAGUUGCUUCAGUCGUGUCCGACUCUGUGCGACCCCAUAGACGGAAGCCCACCAAGCUCCCCCGUCCCUGGGAUUCUCCAGGCAAGAACACUGGAAUGAGUGACCAUUUCCUUCUCCAAUGCAUGAAAGUGAAAAGUGAAAGUGAAGUUGCUCAGUCACAUCCGACUCUUCACAACCCCAUGGACUGUAACCUACCAGACUCCUCCGUCCAUGGGAUUUUCCAGUUGGAGGAAAAUUGCUUUAUGAUGUUGGUUUGUUUUCUGCCGUAAAAUGACACAUAUCAGCCAUAAAUAUAUGUGCAUCCCCAUGGAAUUUUAAUUUCUCACACAAUUUUUCAGAUACUAGGAGAAGAGGAAACAGCAUAACUCAUCUUUUAUGCAAAUAAAAUCUUGAAGUCAAAAGCAGAUGAAGAUGAGAUGAGAAAGGAAGCUUCAGGCCAGAGGAGUGAGUCACACUGAGAACUGAUGUGUGUCCAUGCAGAGGUUGAAUUCCAUGGUGACCUUGCCUUUCAACUAAAAUCAAGCCAUGCUGCUGCUGAGUCGCUUCAGUCGUGUCCGACUCUGUGCGACCCCAUAGACGGCAGCCCACCAGGCUCCCCCAGCCCUGGGAUUCUCCAGGCAAGAACACUGGAGUGGGUUGCAAUUUCCUUCUCCAGUAAAUCAAGCCAUAUUUUACAUUAAAAUCUUUCUCAUCCUUCCCCUUUUACAUUGUGAUUUAUGGUAAGACCCUUCCAUUAACACCUGAUAAACU
ensembl:lncRNA